UACGUAGGGUGCGAGCGUUAAUCGGAAUUACUGGGCGUAAAGCGUGCGCAGGCGGCUUUGCAAGACAGAUGUGAAAUCCCCGGGCUUAACCUGGGAACUGCGUUUAUGACUGUGGGACUCGAGUGUGGCAGAGGGGGGUGGAAUUCCACGUGUAGCAGUGAAAUGCGUAGAGAUGUGGAGGAACACCGAUGGCGAAGGCAGCCCCUGGGUCAACACUGACGCUCAUGCACGAAAGCGUGGGGAGCAAACAGGAUUAGAAACCCCGGUAGU
rnacentral:rRNA from 1 species